rnacentral:rRNA from 1 species
UUAGGAAUCUUGCACAAUGGGGGAAACCCUGAUGCAGCGACGCCGCGUGCGGGACGAAGGCCCUCGGGUCGUAAACCGCUUUCAGCAGGAACGAAAUUGACGGUACCUGCAGAAGAAGCCCCGGCCAACUACGUGCCAGCAGCCGCGGUAAUACGUAGGGGGCGAGCGUUGUCCGGAUUCAUUGGGCGUAAAGAGCUCGUAGGCGGUUCAGUAAGUCGGGUGUGAAAUCUCCGUGCUCAACACGGAGCGGCCACCUGAUACUGCUGUGACUCGAGUCCGGUAGGGGAGUGUGGAAUUCCCGGUGUAGCGGUGAAAUGCGCAGAUAUCGGGAGGAACACCAGUAGCGAAGGCGGCACUCUGGGCCGUGACUGACGCUGAGGAGCGAAAGCGUGGGUAGCAAACAGGAUUAGAUACCCCCGUAGUCC